UACGGAGGGGGCGAGCGUUAUUCGGAAUUAUUGGGCGUAAAGGGCGCGUAGGCGGCCGUCUAAGUCAAAGGUGAAAUCCCUCAGCUUAACUGGGGAACUGCGUCUGAUACUGGAUGGCUUGGAUUCGGGAGAGGAAUGCGGAAUUCCAGGUGUAGCGGUGAAAUGCGUAGAUAUCUGGAGGAACACCGGUGGCGAAGGCGGCAUUCUGGACCGAUAUUGACGCUGAGGAGCGAAAGCCAGGGGAGCAAAGCGGG
rnacentral:rRNA from 1 species